AUGGUAAAAGAGAAGACAGCGGCUCUGGAGCGGGCGAAGAAAGCGACGGCGAAGGCGAAGGGAAGGGCGACCAGUCGGGGCGGAUCUUCAUCGAGGGCCGGCCUGCCGCAGGGCUGGAUCCAGGGCGACUGGAUCCGCUCAAUGAUUCGUCAAGAGGACCUUGAUGACCUGGCCAAUGGAGGAAUGAUCCCCCAUGGAUCGGCGCGGCUCCCGGGGAAGGAGUCUGAGCCGCAACCUCAGGAGGGUGAGUGCGUUCUCUUGGCCACCCAUGUCGACCGCGGGUUUUCUUUGCCGCCUCACCCUUUCUUUCGGGGAUUUCUGAAUUUCUUUGGGGCGCAACUCAACCAUUUCACACCCAACAUCAUCGUGUACCUCGCUGCUUUCGUGUCUUUGUGCGAGAAUUUCUUGGGUUGUCGGCCUCAUUGGGGUCUUUUCAAGCACAUUUUUACCUGUCGCUCCCAGACGGUGAAAAAGGCCAAUCCGAGUGACGAAAGAACACAAGUGAUUCAGAUGUGUGGGGGUCUUGGGGUUCAAAUGAGGGGGAAAAGUUCUUUUCCGACCAUGAUCCUACCCGACUCGGUCCGUGGAUGGCAGUCGACCUGGUUUUACUGCAAAGACCAACCGACGCCAGGGCAGUCGACCGGACUCCCUCCUUUUUCUAUGGACCGAGUAAGGAAACCUUCCUCUUUGAAGGUGAUCCUGGAAGAGAAGGCGCAAGUUAAGGUGCUGGUCGAACGUGUUGUCUAG
rnacentral:rRNA from 1 species